rnacentral:tRNA from 1 species
AGCUUCAUGGCGUAAUGGAAGCGCGCCGGUCUUGUAUAACCCGGAGGACCUCCGAUCGAAACGGAGUGGAGCUA